CUCUUAUCCAGAGUUGGUGGAGGGACAGGCCCUUUGAAGCCCGGCAACCCGUCAUUUUGUAUGACAUGGUGCUAACCUGAAGCAAGGAGAAUGAUUGCUCCUUGGACGAUAAGAG
rnacentral:ncRNA from 2 species